CCAGUAAGUUCCGGGCGCAGGUGGUUUGGCAACUGAACCGGUGAGUCUCAGGCGCAGGCGGUUUGGGAACCGGUGAGUCUCGGGCCCAGGCGGUUUGGGAACCCCUGAGUCUCAAGUGCAGGCGGUUUGGGAACCGUUCCUCAUCAGACACAAGCAGCCCAGACGACUUUUCCAUCCUGGGAAGAAGCGGGUGAGCCUCCAGGAUCCUGCCCAAGAUAGGACCCUAGUGCGGAGGCCAGUUGAAGAGGAGCCCUGAGGGAGGGCCUCUGACUUUGAUCCAGGUGCCCGGAACAGACCGAAAUUACCGGACAGUAGCAACCGCAGAGAUGCUCAGAUGCAGGGAUGUCGGCCAGUGAGGCUCGCCCAGGUGGCCACUCAUGAUUUUCCCACUUCACAAUCAUUGCAUCUAAGAGCACUUCAUGGAAACACUGAAGCCAGGGUGAUUACUGUCAGUG
rnacentral:lncRNA from 1 species